UUCGAUAAAUUUUGCGAUGGUACUGUCCGGGCUGGUAGGCUCCAGUAAUUCGAUUUUCGUCUGUCCGACUUUGAAAAACGCUGUUUUCACUUUUUGGUCGGGCACUUCUUCAAUGCUGUAGCAUGUAAGUCCUAAUACCUGUUCAUAGUAGGGACGAUGUUCCUCAAUGCUGUUAACGGCAAUGCCAAGAUGCUCAAUGUGCGAAAUUUCCAUAGUAAAUCUUUAUUUAUAUGUUCGUAAUUAUCGCACAAAGGUAUGAAAUAAAAUUGAGAAAUGGGGUGAAAGGAAGGGGUACGAAAUAUCUAUUUUUUUUACAUCUUGUCAGGAGGAGGGAAAGCAUACUGCUUCCUGCCGAUCAUCCGGCAUAUAGGAUUGAGAAGACCUUUCAGCUCGGCCGUCAGUCGUGUACACGGGUGCCGAUCGGUUCACCGAGCAUCACUUUCUUCAGGUUUCCGACGGUAUCCAUAUCGAAUACGAUGAGCGGAAGGCCGUUUUCUUUGCACAUCGUCGUGGCCGUCAGGUCCAUCACCUUCAGGUUGCGACGAUAAAUUUCGUCGAACGUAAUUUCGUCGAAUUUGACGGCCGACGGGUCUUUCUCCGGGUCGGCCGUAUAGAUUCCGUCUACGCGUGUACCCUUGAGCAUCACGUCGGCUUCUACUUCGAUGCUGCGCAGCGAGGAGGCCGUGUCGGUAGUGAAGAACGGAUUGCCCGUGCCGCCGGCGAUAAUCACGACCUGUCCGGCUUCGAGACGUUCGACUGCCCGUGUCUUGCUGUAAUAUUCGCCGAUCGGUUCCAUGCGAAUGGCGGUCAUGACGUAAGCCUUGAUCCCCACGCCCUGAAGUGCCGAGCUUAGUGCCAAACUGUUGAUGACUGUGGCCAGCAUCCCCAUUUGAUCGCCUUUGACGCGAUCGAAGCCCUUCGUUGUACCGCUCAGUCCGCGGAAAAUGUUCCCCCCGCCGAUGACGAUCGCGAUCUGAAUCCCCAUAUCGGCAACCUCUUUGAUCUGGGUUGCAUAUUCUAUGAGGCGCACCUCGUCAAUACCGUAUCCUGUGUUACCCAUCAACGACUCGCCACUUAAUUUCAGUAAAAUCCGUUUGUAUCUCAUCAUGAUCGAUUCUUGUCUUGAAUUGCGGCAAACAUACAUAAAAUCUUUGGAAUAUACGCCAGUUUAAUCAAAAAGCAGAGACUUCAAUCCAAAAAGCAUCGAAGAAUCAUCCAUAAUCAUUGAUUGUCAGCCGAUUGAAGUUUAGAGCAUCCCUAUACGAUUUAUCAUUUAACCGCUGAAAUGGCUUUCAGACUCCCUUUAAAAAUAAAAAUAAACGUUCGACUUAAACUUUUUCAUUUAUUUUUGCACUCGCGUCUCUGAUAGGAAGUCACGGAUGAAAUGAAAAAGAUAAAUGACAUCGCCUCUCUCUAUAAUCUCUAUGUAGACCAUCUGUAUACGUAUGCCCUUUAUUUGGGCUUCGAUAAAGAGACAAUCAUGGAUGCCAUUCACGAUGUGUUCUGCAAAUUAGCUGCCGACCAAAAAAAACUUUACGAUGUAUCGAAUAUAAAAUUAUACCUUUUCAGAGCCCUAAAAAACAGACUGUACGACAUCUUUAAGACUCGACGCGAAUAUGUCGGGUUAUCCAUCAUCGAAUCACAAGAGAUGCCUUUCGAUAUACAGAUAACCAUUGAAGAUCCGCUCAUCGACAGAGAAGAGCAGCAGCAAAUAGAACAUUCUGUAACAGAGAUGCUCCGUAGUCUGACCGAACGCCAGCGAGAGAUCGUUUAUCUGCGUUAUAUUCAGGAAUACGACUAUGAACAGAUUGCCGAAUUGUUGCAUAUCAGCGUGCAUGGUUGCCGGAAGCUGCUUUCCAAAGCGAUGCAGAAGUUACGCGAUACGUAUGGAUUUAAGUCUAUGCUUUUUCUUCUUCUCUGAAACUUUUGCAUUAAAUUUUUGAUAUUUUUCAAAAGAAGGGGAUAAAAAAUAAGUUCUGUCGUCUUUAUAAAGAAAACAGGAUUCAAAUACAUUGUUACAUAUGCCAAGUUAUUCACAUUAUACGGACUUUUUAAAAGACGAACAGUUUAUCCGGUGGCAAUUGUUGCCGGAUGAAGAGCUGAAUGCUCGAUGGCAGGAUUUUAUGGAGAAACAUCCGCAUCUGGAUGAAGAGAUUCGGCAGGCCAUCCAUUAUUUGAAGACAACAGGCCUUAAUAAGAACAGAUUGAACGAAGAAGAUCGCAGGCAACUUUUUCGGAGAAUACAAUCCACUAUCGAACGAAACUCGAGAGCGAUAAAAGUACGCCGUAUGAUACGAUAUGCAGUGGCUUCGUGUGCCGCCAUUGCAUUGGCUAUCGCAGGAUUGCAAUUGUUCAGGUUCAUUCAUCCGGAAGAAAGAUCGGUAAUGCCAUUUGGUACGGAGCGGAUUGUCGGUAAUUUGUUGAACCAUGAAGCUAUUCAACUUAUUUCGGGCAAAGAGUCGCGAUCCUUCCAAAACAAUAUUAAAUUAAAUAUCAGUGAUAAAGGGGAUAUUACCGUUAUGCAAGAAAAUGAAAGAGAAGAGACGCUUGAUAUGGACAAGGCCUCGAUCAAUCGACUCGUUGUUCCAUACGGGAAGCGAACACAGUUAACUUUGUCUGAUGGUAGUAAAGUUUGGUUGAACUCAGGUACGGUGCUGGAGUUUCCGGCAGAAUUUUCGGCCCAAAAUCGUGAAAUAAACUUGAUGUCCGGAGAGAUAUACGCCGAAGUGGCUCCUGAUAAAACAAAAUCAUUUUAUGUGCAUACGUCUGAUUUUCAUGUAAAGGUGUACGGUACCAAGUUUAAUAUUUCACACUAUUCCGAUUCUCCCCAAUCUGUAACGUUAGUAGAAGGAAGCGUAGGCCUUCGAUCGGGAACUGACAGCGAAUGGU
rnacentral:rRNA from 1 species